AGAAUGGAACUCUUUGUCAGUGCAAAGG
rnacentral:sRNA from 1 species